UACGUAGGUGGCAAGCGUUAUCCGGAAUUACUGGGUGUAAAGGGCGCGCAGGCGGCCCUGCAAGUCGGAUGUAAAAGAUCAAGGCUCAACCUUGACAGGCCAUUCGAAACUGUGGGACUUGAGUGUCAGAGGGGAAAGUGGAAUUCCUAGUGGAGCGGUAAAAUGCGCAGAUAUUAGGAGGAACACCGGUGGCGAAGGCGACUUUCUGGCUGACAACUGACGCUGAGGCGCGAAAGCGUGGGGAGCAAACAGGAUUAGAUACCCUGGUA
rnacentral:rRNA from 1 species